UACAGAGACGUCGAGCGUUGUUCGGAUUCAUUGGGCGUAAAGGGUGCGUAGGCGGUGAGGUAAGUCGGAUGUGAAAUCCCAGAGCUUAACUCUGGAAGUGCAUCCGAAACUACCUUGCUAGAGGACUGGAGGGGAGACUGGAAUUCUCGGUGUAGCGGUGAAAUGCGUAGAUAUCGAGAGGAACACCUGUGGCGAAGGCGGGUCUCUGGACAGUUCCUGACGCUGAGGCACGAAAGCUAGGGUAGCAAACGGG
rnacentral:rRNA from 1 species